rnacentral:rRNA from 1 species
UACGUAGGGGGCAAGCGUUGUCCGGAUUUAUUGGGCGUAAAGCGCUCGCAGGUGGUUCAUUGCGUCGUGCGUGAAAGACCCCGGCUCAACUGGGGAGGGUCGUGCGAAACGGGUGAACUAGAGGCCAGUAGGGGGAUGCGGAAUUCCGGGUGUAGUGGUGGAAUGCGUAGAGAUCCGGAGGAACACCAGCGGCGAAGGCGGCAUCCUGGACUGGUCCUGACACUUAGGAGCGAAAGCGUGGGGAGCGAUCCGG